GAAACAAAGUACACUUAUUGGAAGGUAAGUCUAAGAAUAUUGUUAUUCAGUUACGUUGAAUUUAUCCUUUUUGGUGUUCUUUUUAAUUAAUUGAGUGUUUUUUAAUAAAAAGAAAUUAUUUUAUUUACCUUUUGUAUCAGGGUUUUUUAAAAUUAUUAAUUAAUUAAAUAUCUCGAAUCAAUAAUGAGCUAAUUAAUUUAUUUUUGUUUCAAUAAAUAAUUAAUUAUUUUAGUUAUGAAAUGUUAUCGUAUUUUGGGUUAUCUUGUUACUUAAAUAACUUAUAUUAUAAUUGUAUUUAAUCCAAUUAAAUAGAAAAGUUAAUUUUUUUAUUUUUAAUAAAUAAAAUUAUUUUUUUUAUUAAUUAGGUUUAAUAUUAAUCAUAUUUAUAAAUUGUUAUAAAUAAUUAAAUGAUUUAAUAUUUUAUUAUUUUUAUUUAAGUUAUUUAAAUUAUUAUAUAAUUUUUAAAAAUAAUGAAUUAAUUAGUAUUAGGUUUGUAUUAUAUAUUUAACUCGUAUUUUAUUUGAUAGUUUAACAAAAACAUUUUUUUUUGUUAAUAUAAAGUAAGGCCUGCCCAGUGAUUUAAACGGCUGCAGUAUAUUAACUGUACUAAGGUAGCAUAAUCAUUUGUUUUUUAAUUGAGAACUGGCAUGAAUGGUUUUACAAAUAAUUAAUUUUAAUAUAUUUAUUUAGUAAUUUUUAUUUUAAAUAAUAAUAUUUAAAUAUAAUAAAGGGACGAUAAGACCCUAAAAGCUUUUUUAUUUGUUUAUUUUUUUAAUUUAAAUAAUUAUAUUUAGUUGGGGUAAUGUAAAUAUAAAUUUUAUUUUAUAAAUUUGCAAUUAUAAUUGGUUAUUUGAUCUUUUAUAUAAAGAAGUAUAGAAUUAGUUACUUUAGGGAUAACAGUGUAAUAAUUUUAGAAAGGCCUUAUUAAUAAAAUUGAUUACAACCUCGAUGUUGAAUUAAGAUGUGUAUAUUCUGUAGC
rnacentral:rRNA from 1 species